rnacentral:lncRNA from 1 species
CUUCUCGGGGUAACGCCGCCCCUCUGCCCGAGCUCCGGUGCGCUCCAGGUGCGGGCUGCGGCUCGAAGGUGCGCCAAAGGCACGUUAUGGUUGCCUAAAGUUAAUUAAGAAGAAAUUCAGGAGUCCCAAGAGUUUUAAUUGCCUCUGCACUACACAGAAUCUUCUGUUUCAAUGUCGAGCAACAUUAAGUUUGAACUCCAGACAGGAUUUCUACAUUCAGAGAAGGCUGGUGAAGAGGAGGCCUGUGAAUCACUACCAGAGACAGGGACAGAAUGGAAGCUGUAGCCCUGGUGUUGCAUUUCCUUCCAUGAAAAUGAUCCUCCUGUUGCCCUGGUGCUGUGUUUCACAUGCUAAGAAACCAGUUCUUCAGUUUCAAACCAUUUCUUGGAAGAAAUGUUGCAGAACAAGAAGGAAGACAUUGUUCUGGAAGGGACCCACAUGCUGUCAUUCAUGGCCCAAGGUGUUUUUUACCCUUCAUUUACAGCAUGUCAUAUACAACUACAGAAGCCUCAGUCUGUAUUUUAGGGGUGAAGGAGCCGUGCAUCUAAAAGACACAGCUUGAUGGAGAAGAAGAGAAAGUAAGAGAGCAGGAGACAGGAGCAGAAGAAGGGAGAGAAGCUGUUCCUAGGAUGUGGAUUAUGGAUUGCACCUGUGCACUGGAAACAAACACAGAUUCUCCUGUGUGAGCAUGGCAGCGGUAUUGGUGUAAUGAGCUCUUCUUGGGUAAGUUAACACAACAAAUGGAUCUAGUUCCCAGUGAUGGGUCUGGGUGACAUGCUCACCCAACACAGGACAGGGAGGUAAGAAUAGGAUUAUGGGAUCUUCCAGCCCAGAGCCUGGCUUCUAGCAUCAGACAGCAUGGCCUUUUGCAUUAAGUCCACAGACAAACCCCAGUCAACACAACUGGUUCACAGAGCUCAGAGAGACACCAGCUCUAGUAAGGAGGGACAGAAAUGCAUGACCUUA